AUCUUCUCAUUGAGCUCCUUUCUGUCCAUUGGUGGCAGUUUAUGGAUUCGCACGAGAAGAAGAGACAAUUCACAGUUGCAUUAUUUUACCUUCUGUCUUCACAGAGGUAUAUUUUGCUGUUUUGUGAGACAUUU
rnacentral:snoRNA from 1 species